UACGGAGGGUGCAAGCGUUAUCCGGAUUCACUGGGUUUAAGGGGUGCGUAGGUGGGCAAGUAAGUCAGUGGUGAAAUCUCCGGGCUUAACCCGGAAACUGCCAUUGAUACUAUUUGUCUUGAAUACUGUGGAGGUCAGCGGAAUAUGUCAUGUAGCGGUGAAAUGCUUAGAUAUGACAUAGAACACCAAUUGCGAAGGCAGCUUACUACGGGAACAUUGACACUGAGGCACGAAAGCGUGGGGAUCAAACAGG
rnacentral:rRNA from 1 species